AUGGGUUGACCGAUUCAUCUGAAAUUUUCAGGGCAGAUAGAUCUUGACCUGACAAACAAUUUAACCCCCAUGUCAGAUUUGCUUUAAAUGCUUUGGUUUCCGAGUUAACCCAAAAACUGCCUUUUACCCCUAUGUUCUAUUUUUAGCCAUGGCGGCCAUCUUGGUUGGUUGACCAGGUCACCGGACACAAUUUUUAAACUAGAUACCCCAAUGAUGAUUGUGGCCAAGUUUGGUUUAAUUUGGCCCAGUAGUUUCAGAGGAGAAGAUUUUUGUAAAAGUUAACGACGGACGACGACGACAGACGCCAAGUGAUGAGAAAAGCUCACUUGGCCCUUUG
rnacentral:lncRNA from 1 species